UUACUUGCAUGGCAGGGGAGAUACCGUGAUCAGGCAGGUGUUUUUCUCAAGGUGAGACUCAUCCUUUGCACUCUGGGUGUGCUGACCCCUGUGAUUUCCCCCAGAUGUGGGAAACUCGACUGCAUAAUUUGUGGUAGUGGGGGGCUGUGUUCGUGCUCUCCCCUG